rnacentral:tRNA from 1 species
GGGAGUGUGGCUCAGUGGUAGAGCGCUUGUCUAGCACGCAGGAAGCCCCAGGCUCCACUCCUC